rnacentral:tRNA from 1 species
GCAGGCAUAGUUUAAAACCAAACAUUAGAUUGUGAUUCUAGGAAUAGAAGUUUAAGUCUUCUUGCCUGCC